UGGUUCUGGCAUCGAUGAAGAACGCAGCGAAAUGCGAUAAGUAAUGUGAAUUGCAGAAUUCAGUGAAUCAUCGAAUCUUUGAACGCACAUUGCGCCCGCUAGUAUUCUGGCGGGCAUGCCUGUCCGAGCGUCAUUUCAACCCUCAGGCCCUGGUUGCCUGGUGUUGGGGCGCCGCGUCCCCUAGCGGGCGCGGGCCCCCAAAGUCAGUGGCGGGCUCGCCAGGACUCCGAGCGCAGUAGUUUACACCUCGCUGCGGAGGACCUGGCGGGUUUCCCGGCCGUAAAACACCCCAAACUUUACAAGGUUGACCUCGGAUCAGGUAGGAAUACCCGCUGA
rnacentral:misc_RNA from 1 species